GAAAUGACUCUCGGCAACGGAUAUCUCGGCUCUUGCAUCGAUGAAGAACGUAGCGAAAUGCGAUACUUGGUGUGAAUUGCAGAAUCCCGUGAACCAUCGAGUCUUUGAACGCAAGUUGCGCCCGAAGCCAUUAGGUUGAGGGCACGCCUGCCUGGGUGUCACAC
rnacentral:rRNA from 1 species